UUCGGAGAUAAGUUCAGAUUUUAGAGAGAAAGGCUGAAGAUGGCUAAAAAAUUGUUCUCAACUUAUGCAAUGCUGUAGUUACAUGGCUUACAACUGCAGUGAAUUUUGAUUCCCACUUAAAUUAUCUUCGUUUCUUAUCUGAACAGGGGAAAGUGUCCAGUACAACUCUAGCUGCAUGUCACAUGUUCGAAAGAAUGUAGGGAAGAGAUUAAUGAUAUAUGACAUUAAAAUUAAUCAAGUUAUCUCAAGGAGCUGAUGUCUUUGUGCUGUAUGAACCGAACUGAUGCCAGGAUGUCAAACUCCAACUUCAGAAUGUGUGUGCAAUUCAGGCCACUCAUCCACAAAUAGAGGAAGGUUGAUGGUGAAAAUGCUUGCUUCAAGAAAUUGGACCAGGAGUCUUCUGUUUUCAAGGUUUGGACACUCUUCUGCAUUUAGCUCUGUGACGAUAUGCGGAACAUAGAUAAAUGUUCAUGUGCAGUUCUUUGUGAGAUGCACAUCGUUUUUUGUGGCCCCUUAUGUUUGAUUAAUAUCCUGCUUUGUAUGCCCUACCCAACUACAUAAUAAGAUGCUAGGUAUUAGCAGAAACGAAACCUCUAGAUAAUAAAGCGUGGAACAAAUGUCUUCUCCGCAAUUCCUUUUGUUGCCCAUAUAUUACUCAUAGGAAAUCCCUGUAAGUUUGUUGGCACGAUAUUUGUGUUUCCUGAUGCUUGCUUAGUGCCUUUUCUGAGAGUGCUCAUUGUUGCACGUUUUGAUUCUUUGUAUUUCUUUCUAAAUGUUGUGUUAGGCCAGAAGAUGUUUUAGUGAAUUAACACAGUCCGCUGCUUAGGGAAUUAAAUCUGCUGAAUGAAGAUGGCAGCAAUUAUCUACCUUGUGUUUUCAACAUCCUUGAACUGGUCUAGGACAUGGGUUCUAUUAUUUUGACAAUUUUCUUCUCCUUAAGAGAAUAUUGGUUAAAUUAAAAAGAAAAAUCUGAAUCUGAAAAAUGUAGACAAGUUGCAUGCUUGUUCCAACCUUGAAGCACAAGGAUUAUCAGUGAAUAAAAAAUAGAGCUAGAAAAAUUGAUUUCAGAGAGCUAGAUCAUGAUCUAUAGAAUGAUGAUUAUCCUUGCAUGCACAAAUUUAAAGAAGGGUACAAAAAGCCCGGGAUAUCCUAAGCGUUGGGCGGACAGGAUCCGGCUCCACCACUUCACCAUUCCAUCCGCCCCCAUUCCUGAUCGGUAAAAUAUAAAUCAUGCUCCUCCUUGCGCCGUCCUCUCCACAGAUCUAUCUCACGGUACAGUACUAACGGCCGUCCCUCCGCGUGUAGCACGGUAUGUCACCACUGGUGUGUUGCUGCGUGCUAGGCUUAUCGCUCGCCUCUUCGUAAGAGGGAGUAUGUGCCGCUUCCCAACCUUUUCCAGCUUCAAUUUGGUGGCGGCGUGCAACCGCCUCACUUUUGCCCCAAGAUCCUCCUGAGUAAUCGAAGCAUGAUGGAUCAUCCAGUGGCCUGCAGCUACUGGUGCUAAGGCCGAAGACGCGAUCGUUUCGAGUGCAGGUGACUGUGUGCAGGUGACUGAUCCCACGGGGUUGCAGAAAGGGUACUGAAAUUAGUAA